UGGGGAAUAUUGGGCAAUGGGCGAAAGCCUGACCCAGCAACGCCGCGUGAAGGAAGAAGGUUUUCGGAUCGUAAACUUCUAUCCUUGGUGAAGAUAAUGACGGUAGCCAAGAAGGAAGCCCCGGCUAACUACGUGCCAGCAGCCGCGGUAAUACGUAGGGGGCAAGCGUUGUCCGGAAUGAUUGGGCGUAAAGGGCGCGUAGGCGGCCUGGUAAGUCUGGAGUGAAAGUCCUGCUUUUAAGGUGGGAAUUGCUUUGGAUACUGUCGGGCUUGAGUGCAGGAGAGGUAAGUGGAAUUCCCGGUGUAGCGGUGAAAUGCGUAGAGAUCGGGAGGAACACCAGUGGCGAAGGCGACUUACUGGACUGUAACUGACGCUGAGGCGCGAAAGUGUGGGGAGCAAA
rnacentral:rRNA from 1 species